GUCCUAUUUUUUGGUAAAGAGCCACAUGAAUCUGUUAUGAUAUAAUUAUUCUUGUUUUGAGUGUCACCCUCAUUUGGUCUUCUGAAUGCCAGAAAUGCGUCUUUCGAACAAAAGAGAAAAACAGCAACCAUAAUUAUUUGACCAGAAGAGGAUUACCCAGCAGAAAGUCCUAGAGUGUAGAUAUAGUUCUGAAGACCGGAGCGUGGAGAGGCAAAUAUCAGGUUGUGCUGACACCAGGACACACAGGACCUCCUCGUUCUCAUUAUGCUUGGCUUGUUUUGAUGGGAAGAUACAAAAGUACCUAGGUGAGAAGAGCACGUGUGAAAGCUCCACAGUGGCUGGUACAGUGCUUAUCGCCUCAUGAGAUUCUCUAAAUGCCUUCUAAAGUGUAUGAAGGAAGAACUGCUGCCAGAAGUUUUAGUACAGGGCAUUGCAUAGGACCCACAAAUGGAGCACACCGUUAGCCAGCAGCCAUACACAGAAUAUCACCAGCCUUACUGAAGCCUCCUGCAGCCCCCUCCAAGGACAUCUCUACUCCCUCCCACUUCUAACAGCACAGAGGAGACUUCUGUUUUUAUACUUCAUGUACAAAUGAAAUAACACAUGACAGAAGAACCUGCUAAGUGAGAGUCAGGAUGACCUGAACCUGGGUCCUUCAAUCAAUAACCCACAGGCAAGGUGCCCAUCAACUGGUGAAUGGAUAAAGAAGAUGUGGAGUUUUUAUACAAUGGAGCACUACUCAGCCACAAAGAAGGAUAUACUCAAGACAUUUCUAGGAAAAUGGGACUUUGAGUUCAUACUCAUGUGACAUAAAUCGGACAGACAACUGCUUACUUGAAGAGCAAGUUGGAAUGGAAGAAAUCGCAAGCCUUACUUACCCCGACCUUUUGGGGUGAUCUAAAAGGUUCUUUCUUGACAAGUUUAAGGUAAAAAACUGCUGGAAGGAUGAAAAUCAGCAUCGUGGCAGAAGAAGCCCCUGAGGAGAGAAACAGGCACAUGAAUUCCCUGAGUGG